rnacentral:rRNA from 1 species
UACGUAGGUGGCAAGCGUUGUCCGGAUUUACUGGGCGUAAAGAGCGCGCAGGCGGUCGUUCAAGUCGCGUGUGAAAGCCCCCGGCUCAACUGGGGAGGGUCACGCGAUACUGAUCGACUCGAAGGCAGGAGAGGGAAGUGGAAUUCCCGGUGUAGUGGUGAAAUGCGUAGAUAUCAGGAGGAACACCUGUGGCGAAAGCGGCUCACUGGACCACAACUGACGCUGAGGCGCGAAAGCUAGGGGAGCAAACAGG